GGAAGUAAAAGUCUAACAAGGUUUCCGUAGGUGAACCUGCGGAAGGAUCAUUAUUGUAUAACCGAGGUGCGAGGGCUGUCGCUGACCCGAAAGGUCGUGCACGCCCGAGUGCCCUCACACACAUCCAUCUCACCCCUAUGUGCACCACCGCGUGGGUCCCCCUUUGGCUUGUUCGGAGGGGGGCUUACGUUUUCACACAAACUUUGUAUGCAGUGUAGAAUGUAUUUUUUGUUUUUGCGAUCACGCAAUCAAUACGACUUUCAACAACGGAUCUCUUGGCUCUU
rnacentral:misc_RNA from 1 species